AGAGUAUGCCUCAGUGGUAGAGUGUGUGCUUAGCAUGCACGAGGUCCUGUGUUCAAUCCCCAGUACCUCUG
rnacentral:tRNA from 1 species